GACGAACGCUGGCGGCGUGCUUAACACAUGCAAGUCGAACGAAGUGGCGAACGGGUGAGUAACGCGUACUCCACCUGCCCUUCAGAGGGGUACAACAGUUGGAAACGACUGCUAAUACCGCAUACUGAAGGUGGGGAUUGCGUCUGAUUAGCUAGUUGGAGGGGUAACGGCGCACCAAGGCGAUGAUCAGUAGCCGGUCUUGGAGGAGGAACGGCCACAUAGGGACUGAGACACGGCCCAGACCGCUACGGGAGGCAGCAGUGGGGAAUCAUCCGGAAUGGACGAAAGGCUGACGGAGCAAAGCCGCGUGAGGGAUGACGGCCUUCGGGUUGUAAAGCUCUGUUAAUCGGGACGCGGUACCGGAAUAGAAAGCCACGGCUAACUACGUGCCAGCAGCCGCGGUAAUAC
rnacentral:rRNA from 1 species